UACAGAAGAGCUUUGCAGGGGGGAAGGUUUCCCUCCACGACUGCUUCAACCUCUUCACCAAGGAAGAGGAGCUGGACUCAGAAAACGCCCCUGUGUGCGACAAGUGCCGGCAGCGCACGCGCAGCACCAAGAAGCUGACGAUCCAGCGCUUCCCCCGCGUCCUGGUGCUGCACCUCAACCGUUUCUCCACCACUCGGUACUCCAUCAAGAAAUGCUCCGUCUUUGUCGAUUUCCCCCUGCAGCAGCUCAACCUGCGCGAGUUCGCCAGCGAGAAGGCAGGCAGCCCGGUGUACAGCCUGUACGCGCUGUGCAACCACUCGGGCAGCGUUCACUACGGCCAUUACACCGCCUUGUGCCGGGAUGCGGCCGGCUGGCGGCUCUACAACGACUCCCGGUAGGUGAGCCCUGAACCUUGGGACCCCCCCAGA